rnacentral:misc_RNA from 1 species
CCACCACUGAGAAAUAAGCAAAAAUAUAACCCCCAGCAAUCCACUCACCCUUCACACAUUGCUUAAUAAACAUAAUCAAGUCAUUAACGACGACCAGAAUCCCCGCAAUCACAUAUUACAAAUCAGGCAGCAAAUUUAUCAAACUUAACUGCAAUAAGUAAUUGCUUAAUUCCUUGUCAAUAAUUUUUAAAUUGUACACUCGUAUAGUUGGGGUUAGUAUUGGUUUGACAGCGCACUGGGUGCAAAUUACCAAGAUGACAGGGCGGCCCCCAUUUCAGAGGCAAAGGCCAAACUUUUCGAUGGCAAUGGGAAUUACAUUAUUUACAUCCGCUGCCUUUAAUAUGGUUGGGCACAACAGUAUCAUUUUCCCUGGCUAGUAAACCCUGCCGUCUCAUCAUUCACAGCAGCCUGCGUCAGCGUUAGUUGUCGCCUAUCUGGCAGUCACCCCCUUAGAUGAUCCCUUGUAAAAAAGGGAUGCCUCAAGGCUUCACGAGCUGUUAGCCUAUCAGAGGGAUCAUAUCUAAGCAAUCCUUGCAA